rnacentral:rRNA from 1 species
AGAGCGAACGCUGGCGGCAGGCCUAACACAUGCAAGUCGAACGGACCCUUCGGGGUUAGUGGCGGACGGGUGAGUAACACGUGGGAACGUGCCUUUUGGUUCGGAAUAGCUCCUGGAAACGGGUGGUAAUGCCGAAUGUGCCCUUCGGGGGAAAGAUUUAUCGCCAUUAGAGCGGCCCGCGUCUGAUUAGCUAGUUGGUGAGGUAAUGGCUCACCAAGGCGACGAUCAGUAGCUGGUCUGAGAGGAUGACCAGCCACAUUGGGACUGAGACACGGCCCAAACUCCUACGGGAGGCAGCAGUGGGGAAUCUUGCGCAAUGGGCGAAAGCCUGAUCCAGCAAUGCCGCGUGAGUGAUGAAGGCCUUAGGGUUGUAAAGCUCUUUUACCCGAGAUGAUAAUGACAGUAUCGGAGAAUAAGCCCCGGCAACCUCCGUGCCAGCAGCCGC